rnacentral:lncRNA from 1 species
AUGCAGCACCAGCAGCAGCAGCACCAGGAGCAGGAGGAGCAGCAGCAUCAGGAGCAUCAGCACCAGCAGCAGCACCAGGAGCAGCAGCAGCAGCAGCAGCAGUGCCGCCUGGGUUUUCGGGCGGGCUUUUCCUCCCGCUUCUGCCCGCUAGGUGGCUGCGUGCUGGGAGGAGAGCCCGGAGCGGGGAGCGAGGGGAGAAGAGGGGCGAGCAGGAAAAAAAAAAAAAAAAAAAGGGAGGAAAAAAAAAAAAAAAACAAGCUGCUGAAAUUUAAGCAGGGGAGGGAGCGGCAGCCAGGCAGUGCCGGGGUCGCUCCGCUCCGCCGCAGCAGGCAGCGGGGCUGCCGGCGCCAGGCCGAGCCCGGGGACCCCUCCGGAGCGGGGGCUCCCCAAAUUCCCACCCGACGGCGGCGGCAGGAGGAGCCGGCCCGGCCCGGUGAGUGCCUCCAGCACCGCGGACAGCUCCGCACCCGCACCCCGCGCUCCGCACCCCGCGCCCCGCAUCCCCCGCGCUGCCCGGCCCCCGCCGCCCCUGCACCCCCCCCGACCACCGCAUCGCCCCCAGCCCAGCGCCCCACAUCGCCCCCCAGGCUCGGAGGGAGGCGGCGGGGGGACGGAGCCCGGCCGGGGAGGGGGGGCGGGGGGCGCAGUUUUUUUGGGGGGAGGGAGGGAUGCGCGGCGGGGAAAGGCGGUGGGGGAGAGGGUCGGGGGGUCGGGGGGGUGCGGCAAAAGCCGCCCGCACUUUCUGCGAGUUCCCUUCGCUGCUGGAAGGAGGUUGAGGAAAUUUGGCUCUCGGCACCUGCGUCACACGGCGAGAGGAGGCAGCGGGGGGGGGGCUGCAUCUCGCUGCGUCCUGCGGGCAGCGCCGGGGACACCUCGCUGCCCCCCCGCUCCGUGCUCCUUGUGCCUCCUUGUGCCUCCUUGUGCCUCCUUGUGCCUUGUCCCCACACCCCUUCCCUCCAGCCCACGGCUCCCCUUCCCACGGGGACCCCUCGCAGGCGGCAGCCCCGGCUCCGGGCGGGCUGGGUGGGGGCAGCCCCAGCCCCGAGGCCACCCGGGCCCCGCCGAGCAGCGGGGGCUGCCCAAAGCCCGGCUCUCUCUGGUCGCGUUCAAAGUUUGAACGAGGUUUCUUUUUUUUUUUUUUUUUUUUCUUUUUCCUCCUUCUCUUGCUUGCUCGGGAAUAGCUCGGAGGAGCCCCGCGCGUGGCUGCGUUUUGGGGUGAAAGCUGGGGGGUUUGGGGCGGAACCCGGAGGGUCUGAACGCCAGCCCUGUCAUUUCGUGGAGCCGGAGAGAAAACAAAAACGGAGGAAAGGGCCCCGCUGGCACCACCACACGCCGGAUCUCGGCGGCCUCUUUCCUCCAUCAGGAGCUGGGGCUGGAGCAUCCCUGCCGAGCCGCUCCCCGGGGAGCCCGGCGCCCCGAGCAGCCGGGGAAGGAGAGGCACGGCCGUGCCCCAGGCAGGGAUGA